CGAGCGUUAUCCGGAUUUAUUGGGUUUAAAGGGAGCGUAGGCGGGUUGUUAAGUCAGUUGUGAAAGUUUGCGGCUCAACCGUAAAAUUGCAGUUGAUACUGGCAUCCUUGAGUACAGUAGAGGUAGGCGGAAUUCGUGGUGUAGCGGUGAAAUGCUUAGAUAUCACGAAGAACUCCGAUUGCGAAGGCAGCCUGCUGGACUGUAACUGACGCUGAUGCUCGAAAGUGUGGGUAUCAAACAGGAUUAGAUACCCUGGUAGUCCACACAGUAAACGAUGAAUACUCGCUGUUUGCGAUAUACAGUAAGCGGCCAAGCGAAAGCGUUAAGUAUUCCACCUGGGGAGUACGCCGGCAACGGUGAAACUCAAAGGAAUUGACGGGGGCCCGCACAAGCGGAGGAACAUGUGGUUUAAUUCGAUGAUACGCGAGGAACCUUACCCGGGCUUGAAUUGCAAAUGAACGGCGUGGAGACAUGCCGGCCGCAAGGCAUUUGUGAAGGUGCUGCAUGGUUGUCGUCAGCUCGUGCCGUGAGGUGUCGGCUUAAGUGCCAUAACGAGCGCAACCCUUACCGAUAGUUACCAUCAGGUGGUGCUGGGGACUCUGUCGGGACUGCCGUCGUAAGAUGCGAGGAAGGCGGGGAUGACGUCAAAUCAGCACGGCCCUUACGUCCGGGGCUACACACGUGUUACAAUGGGGGGUACAGAAGGCAGCUACACGGCGACGUGAGGCUAAUCCCUAAAUCCUCUCUCAGUUCGGAUUGGAGUCUGCAACCCGACUCCAUGAAGCUGGAUUCGCUAGUAAUCGCGCAUCAGCCACGGCGCGGUGAAUACGUUCCCGGGCCUUGUACACACCGCCCGUCAAGCCAUGAAAGCCGGGGGUACCUGAAGUGCGUAACCGCGAGGAGCGCCCUAGGGUAAAACUGGUGAUUGGGGCUAAGUCGUAACAAGGUAGCCGUACCGGAAGGUGCGGCUGGAACACCUCCUUUCU
rnacentral:rRNA from 1 species